UACGUAGGGUGCAAGCGUUGUCCGGAAUUAUUGGGCGUAAAGAGCUCGUAGGCGGUUUGUCGCGUCUGCUGUGAAAACUCGGGGCUUAACCCCGGGCCUGCAGUGGGUACGGGCAGACUAGAGUGCGGUAGGGGAGACUGGAAUUCCUGGUGUAGCGGUGAAAUGCGUAGAUAUCUGGAGGAACACCGGUGGCGAAGGCGGCAUCCUGGACCAAUAUUGACGCUGAGGAGCGAAAGCCAGGGGAGCAAACGGG
rnacentral:rRNA from 1 species